AUCAAGCACUGCUUGGUAUUGGGCAUCCGUCCCCCCUCCCGUGGGGGGCGUGCCCCGAAACCUUCGGCGAAGUCUCAUCGGCUUUGGGCGUAGUAGAAUUACUACAAUAACGUUCAUGAGUCCGGCGAGGCCUUCUGCCGCAAAACCCCAAUUUUUUAAAGGUUGACCUCGGAUCAGGUAGGGAUACCCGCUGAACUUAA
rnacentral:misc_RNA from 1 species